rnacentral:rRNA from 1 species
GCAAUGGCAUAAGCCAGCUUGACUGCGAGCGUGACGGCGCGAGCAGGUGCGAAAGCAGGUCAUAGUGAUCCGGUGGUUCUGAAUGGAAGGGCCAUCGCUCAACGGAUAAAAGGUACUCCGGGGAUAACAGGCUGAUACCGCCCAAGAGUUCAUAUCGACGGCGGUGUUUGGCACCUCGAUGUCGGCUCAUCACAUCCUGGGGCUGAAGUAGGUCCCAAGGGUAUGGCUGUUCGCCAUUUAAAGUGGUACGCGAGCUGGGUUUAGAACGUCGUGAGACAGUUCGGUCCCUAUCUGCCGUGGGCGCUGGAAGAUUGAGGGGGGCUGCUCCUAGUACGAGAGGACCGGAGUGGACGCAUCACUGGUGUUCGGGUUGUCAUGCCAAUGGCACUGCCCGGUAGCUACAUGCGGAAGAGAUAAGUGCUGAAAGCAUCUAAGCACGAAACUUGCCCCGAGAUGAAUCUUCCCUGAGCCUUUAAGGCUCCUGAAGGAACGUUGAAGACGACGACGUUGAUAGGCCGGGUGUGUAAGCGCAGCGAUGCGUUGAGCUAACCGGUACUAAUGAACCGUGAGGCUUAACCUU